rnacentral:rRNA from 1 species
AGCAGCCGCGGUAAUUCCAGCUCCAAUAGCGUAUAUUAAAGUUGUUGCAGUUAAAAAGCUCGUAGUUGAAUUUCGGGAUCAAUUAAUUGGUCGUGCCUCUGGUACGCACUGGUUUUAUUGGUUUCUCCCUUCUGACGAACCACGAUGUCAUUAAUUUGGUGUCGUGGAGAAUCAGGACUGUUACUUUGAAAAAUUAGAGUGUUUAAAGCAGGCUAACGCUUGAAUACAUUAGCAUGGAAUAAUGAAAUAGGACGUUUGAUCCUAUUUUGUUGGUUUCUAGGAUCGACGUAAUGAUUAAUAGGGAUAGUUGGGGGCAUUAGUAUUCAAUUGUCAGAGGUGAAAUUCUUGGAUUUAUUGAAGACUAACUACUGCGAAAGCAUUUGCCAAGGAUGUUUUCAUUAAUCAAGAACGAAGUUAGGGGAUCGAAGACG